rnacentral:rRNA from 1 species
GAGUUUGAUCAUGGCUCAGGAUGAACGCUAGCGGCAGGCUUAACACAUGCAAGUCGAGGGGCAGCGCGGGUAGCAAUACCUGGCGGCGACCGACAAACGGGUGCGGAACACGUACAGAACCUACCUUUAACUGGGGCAUAGCCCGAAGAAAUUCGGAUUAACUCCCCAUAACAUAUAUGAGUGGCAUCACUUGAAUAUUAAAAAUUUAUUGGUUAAAGAUGGCUGUGCGUCCCAUUAGCUAGUUGGUAGGGUAACGGCCUACCAAGGCGACGAUGGGUAGCUGGUGUGAGAGCACGACCAGCCACACGGGCACUGAGACACGGGCCCGACUCCUACGGGAGGCAGCAGUGAGGAAUAUUGGUCAAUGGACGCAAGUCUGAACCAGCCAUGCCGCGUGAAGGAUGAAGGCCUUCUGGGUUGUAAACUUCUUUUAUCUGGGAAGAAAACUACGGUUUCUACUGUAGCCGACGGUACCAGAGGAAUAAGCACCGGCUAACUCCGUGCCAGCAGCCGCGGUAAUACGGAGGGUGCAAGCGUUAUCCGGAUUUACUGGGUUUAAAGGGUGUGUAGGCGGGCUUUUAAGUCAGUGGUGAAAUCUCCGGGCUCAACCUGGAAACUGCCAUUGAUACUAUUAGUCUUGAAUUCUGUUGAGGUUGGCGGAAUAAGUCAUGUAGCGGUGAAAUGCAUAGAUAUGACUUAGAACACCGAUUGCGAAGGCAGCUAACUAAGCAGAUAUUGACGCUGAGGCACGAAAGCGUGGGGAUCAAACAGGAUUAGAUACCCUGGUAGUCCACGCCCUAAACGAUGAUUACUCGACAUACGCGAUACACAGUGUGUGUCUGAGCGAAAGCAUUAAGUAAUCCACCUGGGAAGUACGACCGCAAGGUUG